ACGAAGGUCCCAAGCGUUGUUCGGAAUCACUGGGCGUAAAGGGAGCGUAGGCGGCGUGGUAAGUCAGAUGUGAAAUCCCGGGGCUCAACCCCGGAACUGCAUCCGAUACUGCCAUGCUUGAGGGUUGGAGAGGUAGCUGGAAUUCUCGGUGUAGCAGUGAAAUGCGUAGAGAUGUGGAGGAACACCAGUGGCGAAGGCGACUUUCUGGUCUGUAACUGACGCUGAGGCGCGAAAGCGUGGGGAGCAAACAGGA
rnacentral:rRNA from 1 species